UAUAUAAAUUUGAUUUUAUGCUGAUCUUCUAUUAUUCCAAUUUUAGUAUAUGUGCUGCCAAAGCAAGCAUAGGAACUACUUUUUGAUUGGAUGUAGGGGAAAAAAGGAUGAGUCAAAAGUGACUCCCACAUUUGUAGUUUAAGCAACUAGACCAGAAGUAGGUUUGGAAAAUGGUGGGUUCACUUUUGGAUUUAUUUCUUAAAUAACCUAGUGAAGAUGGCUAGUUGACAGUUGAGUAUAUGGAUCUGGAGCUCAUGUCAGAAGUAUGGAUGUGUUUGAUACAUAAAUUUGAGACGCAUCAACAUGUGGUACUGGUGGCACUCAAGGCCAUUGGAGUCGAAAUGAUCACCCAGGAACUGUAUGUGAGGUAAGAUUGCAUAAAAUGUAAUCCUGAGGAAUGACAUUUAAAAGACUGAUAGAAGAAUGGAAACAUGAAAAGGAACCUGAUACAGAGUACAUUAAUGAUAGGAGGAAAACCAGGAGACCAAGGAAACCAAGAGAAGAGAAGGUUUCCAGAUGGAAGGACUGUUCAACACUAUUGAUUAAUUCCCAGAGGGCUGAAGAAUAUCUCUAGGACUUUCUGACAUACGGGACACUGAGAACUUUAAGCAGUUUUAGGAGAGAGGUGAGGGCAGAAACGAAGUGGGUAUAGUCAGCUUUCAGGAAGCUUAGGUUGUGAAGGUGAGAGAGAGAGAUUAGAGGGCAGUAGCUAGAAGGACACGUGUGUGUGUGUACAUGCACACGUGCACGUGUGUGAUAUGUGUCUUAGUAUAAAAGGGAAAGAGAUACUCAAAAUAGGAAGAUAAUCUGAAGAAGUGAUAGGGAUUGGAUUCCAAGCAUAGCUGGAGCAUGGCAGGAGGAGCAUGUCUUUUAUCAUUACCAAGACAGAAUGUAGGAAGUUAGGUUAACAGGUUUAUAGAUUUGGAUUUCUGUUUGGUGGUGGAUAUUUAAGAGAAUGUCCAUAAAUUAUAACUUUAUGUAUGAGAUAGGAUUAUCUGCUGAGAGUGGGUCAGAUGUUUAAGAAAAGUAGAGAAGGUUUAAAUGCUAAUGGUAAACACGAAGACUAACGUUCUAGGAAAUAGUAGGAUCGAGUAAAGCUAAGGGUCCAGUUGAGGUGUGUGAUCAUGAGUGUAUGUAGAGGCAGUAGUUGCACAUUUGGUAGCCUGGGUAAAGUCAGAGAGAAUGCAGUUAGUUAACAGUUGAAUUCACUGAAUUCAUGGAUAGACAAAGGGACAAAAAAUUGGCAAAGGACUAAAACUACAGAGGGAACGAAGUGAAGACACAAGGAGGCUGGCUAAUGGGUGAGUUAAAAAUAAGGGUAGAUUCUGGUCUAGAGCAGGUCAGCAAACUUUUCUUUAAAGGGCCAGAUAGUAAAUAUUUUGGGGUUUGCAGGCUGUUUGUUGCAGCUACUCAACUCUGCCACUGUAACAUAGAAGCAUUCAUAGACAGUACAUAAAUGAAUUGAUGUGUCUGUAUUAUAAAAACAGGUGGUAGGCUGGAGGCUGGAUUUGACAUGCACGCAGUAGUGUGCUGGCCCCUGGCUAGAGGUCCCAGCUAAAUUAAAGAACUAGUGGAUUUAGGGAAAAAAGAA